ACGAACGCUGGCGGCGUGCUUAACACAUGCAAGUCGAACGGAAAGACCCUGCUUUUGUGGGGUGCUCGAGUGGCGAACGGGUGAGUAACACGUGAGUAACCUGCCCUUGACUUUGGGAUAACUUCAGGAAACUGGGGCUAUACCGGAUAGGAGCUCCUGCUGCAUGGUGGGGGUUGGAAAGUUUCGGCGGUUGGGGAUGGACUCGCGGCUUAUCAGCUUGUUGGUGGGGUAGUGGCUUACCAAGGCUUUGACGGGUAGCCGGCCUGAGAGGGUGACCGGCCACAUUGGGACUGAGAUACGGCCCAGACUCCUACGGGAGGCAGCAGUGGGGAAUAUUGCACAAUGGGCGGAAGCCUGAUGCAGCAACGCCGCGUGCGGGAUGACGGCCUUCGGGUUGUAAACCGCUUUCGCCUGUGACGAAGCGUGAGUGACGGUAAUGGGUAAAGAAGCACCGGCUAACUACGUG
rnacentral:rRNA from 1 species